AUGAACGCUGGCGGCGUGCCUAAUACAUGCAAGUCGAGCGAACAGAUGAGGAGCUUGCUCCUCUGACGUUAGCGGCGGACGGGUGAGUAACACGUGGAUAACCUACCUAUAAGACUGGGAUAACUUCGGGAAACCGGAGCUAAUACCGGAUAAUAUAUUGAACCGCAUGGUUCAAUAGUGAAAGACGGUUUUGCUGUCACUUAUAGAUGGAUCCGCGCCGCAUUAGCUAGUUGGUAAGGUAACGGCUUACCAAGGCAACGAUGCGUAGCCGACCUGAGAGGGUGAUCGGCCCCACUGGAACUGAGACACGGUCCAGACUCCUACGGGAGGCAGCAGUAGGGAAUCUUCCGCAAUGGGCGAAAGCCUGACGGAGCAACGCCGCGUGAGUGAUGAAGGUCUUCGGAUCGUAAAACUCUGUUAUUAGGGAAGAACAAAUGUGUAAGUAACUAUGCACGUCUUGACGGUACCUAAUCAGAAAGCCACGGCUAACUACGUG
rnacentral:rRNA from 1 species